rnacentral:rRNA from 1 species
AACGAUGAUGCCGCUUCGGUGGUGGAUUAGUGGCGAACGGGUGAGUAACACGUGGGUAAUCUGCCCUGCACUCUGGGAUAAGCCUUGGAAACGAGGUCUAAUACCGGAUACGACACGUCACCGCAUGGUGUGCGUGUGGAAAGUUCCGGCGGUGCAGGAUGAGCCCGCGGCCUAUCAGCUUGUUGGUGGGGUAGUGGCCUACCAAGGCGACGACGGGUAGCCGGCCUGAGAGGGUGACCGGCCACACUGGGACUGAGACACGGCCCAGACUCCUACGGGAGGCAGCAGUGGGGAAUCUUGCGCAAUGGGCGAAAGCCUGACGCAGCAACGCCGCGUGGGGGAUGACGGCCUUCGGGUUGUAAACCUCUUUCGACAGGGACGAAGGGUGACUGACGGUACCUGUAGAAGAAGCACCGGCUAACUACGUGCCAGCAGCCGCGGUAAUACGUAGGGUGCGAGCGUUGUCCGGAUUUAUUGGGCGUAAAGAGCUCGUAGGCGGUUUGUCGCGUCGGCCGUGAAAACCUGCAGCUUAACUGUGGGCGUGCGGUCGAUACGGGCAGACUUGAGUUCGGCAGGGGAGACUGGAAUUCCUGGUGUAGCGG